rnacentral:rRNA from 1 species
CCUACGGGAGGCAGCAGUGAGGAAUAUUGGUCAAUGGACGGAAGUCUGAACCAGCCAUGCCGCGUGCAGGAAGACGGCUCUAUGAGUUGUAAACUGCUUUUGUCAGGGAGCAAAGGGCGCCACGUGUGGCGUUUUGCGAGUACCUGAAGAAAAAGCAUUGGCUAACUCCGUGCCGGCAGCCGCGGUAAUACGGGGGAUGCGAGCGUUAUCCGGAUGUAUUGGGUUUAAAGGGUGCGCAGGCGGAAUGUCAAGUCAGCGGUAAAAUUUCGGGGCUAAACCCCGUCGUGCCGUUGAAACUGGCGUUCUUGAGUGAGCGAGAAGUAUGCGGAAUGCGUGGUGUAGCGGUGAAAUGCAUAGAUAUCACGCAGAACUCCGAUUGCGAAGGCAGCAUACCGGCGCUCAACUGACGCUCAUGCACGAAAGCGUGGGUAUCGAACAGGAUUAGAUACCCGGGUAGUC